GACGUAGGGCGCGAGCGUUGUCCGGAUUUAUUGGGCGUAAAGAGCUCGUAGGCGGCUUGUCGCGUCGAAUGUGAAAUCUCAGGGCUCAACUCUGACAUUGCAUUCGAUACGGGCAGGCUAGAGUUCGGUAGGGGAGACUGGAAUUCCUGGUGUAGCGGUGAAAUGCGCAGAUAUCAGGAGGAACACCGGUGGCGAAAGCGAUUCUCUGGUCCUUUCCUGACACUGAGGCGCGAAAGCUAGGGGAGCAAACAGG
rnacentral:rRNA from 1 species